rnacentral:rRNA from 2 species
GGCCGCGUCUGAGGUCUGGACAGCGCGUAAGCGCGCGCAGGUGGUUUCUUAAGUCUGAUGUGAAAGCCCACGGCUCAACCGUGGAGGGUCAUUGGAAACUGGGAGACUUGAGUGCAGAAGAGGAAAGUGGAAUUCCAUGUGUAGCGGUGAAAUGCGUAGAGAUAUGGAGGAACACCAGUGGCGAAGGCGACUUUCUGGUCUGUAACUGACACUGAGGCGCGAAAGCGUGGGGAGCAAACAGGAUUAGAUACCCUGGUAGUCCACGCCGUAAACGAUGAGUGCUAAGUGUUAGAGGGUUUCCGCCCUUUAGUGCUGAAGUUAACGCAUUAAGCACUCCGCCUGGGGAGUACGGCCGCAAGGAUGAAACUCAAAGGAAUUGACGGGGGCCCGCACAAGCGGUGGAACAUGUGGUUUAUUUCGAAGCAGCGCGAAGAACCUUACCAGGUCUUGACAUCCUCUGACAACCCUAGAGAUAGGGCUUCUCCUUCGAGAGCAGAAUGACAGGUGGUGCAUGGUUGUCGUCAGCUCGUGUCGUGAGAUGUUGGGUUAAGUCCCGCAACGAGCGCAACCCUUGAUCUUAGUUGCCAUCAUUAAGUUGGGCACUCUAAGGUGACUGCCGGUGACAAACCGGAGUGAGGGUGGGGAUGACGUCAAAUCAUCAUGCCCCUUAUGACCUGGGCUACACACGUGCUACAAUGGACGGUACAUAGAGCUGCAAGACCGCGAGGUGGAGCUCAUCUCAUAAAACCGUUCUCAGAUCGGAUUGUGAGCUGCAACUCGCCUACGUGAAGCUCGGAAUCGCUAGUAAUCGCAGAUCAGCAUGCCGCAGAUGAUACGGCCCCCAGAGACAU